GCUGGGCAUGGUGGCUCAUGCCUGUAAUCUCAACUACUUAGGAGGCCGAGGUAGGAGAAUCGCUUGAGCCCAGGAGUUCAAGACCAGCCUGGGCAACAUAGUGAGACUCCAUCUCUA
rnacentral:SRP_RNA from 1 species